UGCCAGCCGCCGCGGUAAUACGGAGGGAGCGAGCGUUAAUCGGAAUUACUGGGCGUAAAGCGCACGUAGGUGGUUUAUUAAGUCGGAUGUGAAAUCCCGGGGCUCAACCCCGGAACUGCAUUCGAUACUGGUAGACUAGAGUUUGGGAGGGGUAAGCGGAAUUCCGUGUGUAGCAGUGAAAUGCGUAGAUAUACGGAGGAACACCUGAGGCGAAGGCGGCUUACUGGACCAAUACUGACACUGAGGAUCGAAAGCGUGGGUGGCGAACAGGAUUAGAUA
rnacentral:rRNA from 1 species